rnacentral:lncRNA from 10 species
GCUGAGUUCUGCAUGUGGAUCCUCUUAAUCCUUAAAACAACUCCAGAGGUGGCAAUGAUUGCACCCACUUUACAGAUAGAAUAACUGGUCAGAGAGGGUGUGUGUGUGUUACCUAAGGUCACGGAGCCAGCAAGGGCACCGGGUGAGAAUUUGAACCCAGAGCCACUGGCUUCCUAACCACAGCGCUCUCCUGCUGAGCAGGGACAAGUACUCAUCUUCCCAGCUCUCCCUGCAGUCAGGGAGCCAGAACACCCUGGGACCGGAAACUGCUGCCUGGAUGACCUCAGCCAGCUACCUCGUUUCGCAGACGGGGAAAGUGAGAACCAGAGAAGGCCGGUGACUGGCCCAAGGUCACGUUGUGUCCCAUAUCCUCCUCUCAUUCCCGGACGUCCAGCUCCCCAACAGCCCCAGCACAGAGCUGGGGAAAAAUCUUCAGAGACAUCCCCUUGGGAAGACAGCUGGAAGGCAGGGCUGAGCCGGGGUCAUUUGUGACCCAGCGGUGAGGUGAUGAGGGACUUCGGCAGAGACAGAGCCCCAGCAGCCUCCACCCGUCCCCUCGUGUCGGCCUUGCUCACCCACGGAUGAGUCAGUUGGAAUGUUUGGACAUCCCAGCUCAGCGGCUGUGGUACCAGGAGCUGUCAGGAGGCGGGAAUGCAGAGAAUGUGGCUCACUGUGCUCCCGCCCGCCCAGGCUGAAUCCGCAGAGAGGUUUGGAAGAGGAGACCUACGGCUGAUUCACAGGAGCCUGCCCCCGGCAUCACCCCAGCUGACCCACUGAUGCACCCCGUCUGAAAUCCACGGAGUUGCAGGCAUGCCUGGAAGACCCCGAGCAUUUAUUCAUCUCUUCCUCCUUCAGUCAUUCGCACAGUCAUUCUUUUUAUGGUUGUGUUUUUCCAAUCUUUAUGAUUUUUUUUUCCAAUGGCAAAAGUAAUCUAUUGAAUAUUAGAUUCAAAAGGAAUGAAAUUCUGAUAUAUGCUCCCAUGUGAGUGAACUUGAGGAUAUUAUGUUAAGUGAAAUAAGCCAGACACAAAAGGACAAAUACUGUGUGAUUGCACUUAUACGAGUCAAAUUUGUAGAGACAGAAAGUAGAAUAAAUGUUGCCAGGGGCUGGGGAAGGGGAAAGGGAGAGUUAGUGUUUAAUGGGGACAGAGUUUCACUGGGGAAGGUGGUGGUAGCGGUUGCAACAUUGGGAACGUACUUAAUGCCACCGAACCAUACACUUAAAAAUGGUUCAAAUGGAACAUUUAAUGUCACGCGUAUUUUACCGUAAUAAAGAAAAACAAAAAGUGAUCUAUUGUUCAAACAAUAUAUAAAAGAUAAAACAUAAAAGUAGAUGACUGGGCUCAUAAUUACCCUCAUUUCUCACCCUGUUACCAGUUUGGAAUAUCUGCUUUCGAACCUUUUAACGUCCCCACGCAAUCGUGUAUGUGUGGGCAAAUAUAGGCCCUGAGGGAGGAAGGGAAUGUGAUCUCCAGGUGCCAGACACAUGCUCCUCAUCCCUGUCUCUUUGAAGGACAAUGUCAUGCCUGCAUCCCCAGGUGCCCAGUGGCAAGGUCGCGCAUGAACAAUCACCGCCAUCCAGCGAUGUCUUAGAGGUGUCUGGCUCGGUGCUAAGCCCUUUCACAUGCAUGAGCUCAAUCCUUACACCAGCGUCGUGAGGAAGGUAUAUCUUGAUGCUCACUUCAAAGUCCAUUUCAAGGCCAGGUGCAGUGGCUCACCCCUGUAAUCCCAGCACUUUGAGAGGCUGAGGCAGGAUUGCUUGAGCCCAGGAGUUCAAGACCAGGCUGGGCAACAUAGUGAGACCCUGUCUGUAAAAAAUUAAAAAUUAGCGGGGCAUGGUGGUGGUGGUGUGCUCCUGUAGUGCCAGCUACUCAGGAGGCUGAGGUGGGAGGAUCACCUGAGCCCAGGAGUUCGAGGCUACCGUGAGCCAUGAUCACAGCACUGCACUCCAGCCCAGGCAACAGAGUGAGACCCUGUCUCAAAAACAAAAAACAGUCCAGGCUGGGCUCAGUGGCUCACGCCUUAUAAUCCCAGCACUUUGAG